GUAUUAUUUUUAAAGGAAGCCCUGUGAUUGUUGAUCCGGAGGUUUAGGGCAGUUUGGGGCAGUGGUGGUUUCACCUAUAUAGAAGGCAGUACAGAAGUUGCAAGGAAGGAGGUAGAUGCAAUUACUGGAUUGAUGAAUUUGGUGGGUGUAGUUGGUGAUAGGACUAGUGAAGGAGAUGGAAGAAUCAGUGAUAGGACAGGUUUUAUAGUGGGGGCGUUUGCAAGGUAGGGUACCAGGUGGAGUUGAGAUUUCAUCGGAGAUAUUUGGAUUGGAAAUCGGACCUGAAUUCAAGUGUAUGGAACAUAACUUACUUCUUGGACUAGUAAUAGUGUAUAAAUAUAAAUUCGGACAAGAAACAGUCUUUGGAUGUGCAUAUUAGUCCUUCGCCAAUCAUUUUAGAGAAUUGUGUUUUGCUUAUCAAUAAAUAAAUAACGAGAGAA